rnacentral:misc_RNA from 1 species
UUUUUUUUUUUUUUUAGAGCGAGAGCUUCAAGCCUUUUCUGCUACCAUUUCAUCAACCUCCUCUGCCCAAGGCAGAGGAAGGCCCUUCUAUCCCUGCCCUGCUUGUUGUAUGCCCUCCUUGCAGCUCGGUUGGGUUAAUAUUUAUGGUUUCUCUUAAGAGCUGCUUUAGUUGUCUGCUGUGACUUGUGCUUUGUAUGGACGAGGACGAGUAUUGGUCUUCUAACCUGGAAUCAAUGGAGAGAGAGCUUUAUUAGUUUGCUUCUAGGAGAAGAGAACCUAAUGGUUCAAGUGUUGGUGACCUGUCUUGGACCAUAGCGGGAGGCACAAGGGCUUUCUCUCUUUCUUCUCUAUCUUCUUCUCCCUGUAUUAUGUGAUUCGUGGAACCAUGAUUUGUGCUUAUUCUAUUUUGAGUGGAACCUGUGUUUUUGUUCGUUUCUGUGUGGGUGAGGAUGCAAUAGAGUUUCUUUUUCAGG